UCUUGACCUCAGAUCAGGCAAGGCUACCCACUGAAUUUAA
rnacentral:rRNA from 1 species